rnacentral:lncRNA from 1 species
GGCCAGCGCUAGUCGGUCUGGUAAGUGCCUGAUGCCGAGUUCCGUCUCUCGCGUCUUUUCCUGGUCCCAGGCAAAGCGGAGCGGAGAUCCUCAAACGGCCUAGUGCUUCGCGCUUCCGGAGAAAAUCAGCGGUCUAAUUAAUUCCUCUGGAUUUACAAAAGGUGCAGGUAUGAGCAGGUCUGAAGACUAACAUUUUGUGAAGUUGUAAAACAGAAAACCUGUUAGAAAUGUGGUGGUUUCAGCAAGGCCUCAGUUUCCUUCCUUCAGCCCUUGUAAUUUGGACAUCUGCUGCUUUCAUAUUUUCAUACAUUACUGCAGUAACACUCCACCAUAUAGACCCGGCUUUACCUUAUAUCAGUGACACUGGUACAGUAGCUCCAGAAAAAUGCUUAUUUGGGGCAAUGCUAAAUAUUGCGGCAGUUUUAUGUCAAAAAUAGAAAUCAGGAAGAUAAUUCAACUUAAAGAAGUUCAUUUCAUGACCAAACUCUUCAGAAACAUGUCUUUACAAGCAUAUCUCUUGUAUUGCUUUCUACACUGUUGAAUUGUCUGGCAAUAUUUCUGCAGUGGAAAAUUUGAUUUAGCUAGUUCUUGACUGAUAAAUAUGGUAAGGUGGGCUUUUCCCCCUGUGUAAUUGGCUACUAUGUCUUACUGAGCCAAGUUGUAAUUUGAAAUAAAAUGAUAUGAGAGU